rnacentral:misc_RNA from 1 species
GCAGGGAGGUAGCGAUUGGGGGCUUUGGACAAUGGGGAAACCUGAUCCAGCCAUCCGCGUGUGCGAUGAAGGCCUUCGGGUUGUAAAGCACUUUUGGCAGGAAAGAAACGGCACGAGAUGGCCAUACACGUGCACAACUGACAAGCUGUGGAAUAAGCACCGGCUAACUACGUGCCAGCAACCGCGGUAAUACGUAGGGUGCAGGAAGCGUUAAUCGGAAUUACUGGGCAUGUAAAGCGUGCGCAGGCAGUUCGGAAGAAGAUAAAUCAGGGCUUAACUUUGGAACUGCAUUUUUAACUACCGAGCUAGAGGUGUCAGAGGGAGGUGGGAAUUCCGCGUGUAGCAGUGAAAUGCGUAGAUAUGCGGAGGAACACCGAUGGCGAAGGCAGCCUCCUGGGAUAACACUGACGCUCAUGCACGAAAGCGUGGGGCAAACAGGUUAAGAUACCCCCGUAGUC